UAGGGAAUCUUCCGCAAUGGGCGCAAGCCUGAUGGAGCAACACCGCGUGAGUGAAGUAAGGGUUUCGGCUCGUAAAGCUCUGUUGUUAAAGAAGAACACGUAUGAGAGUAACUGUUCAUACGUUGACGGUAUUUAACCAGAAAGUCACGGCUAACUACGUGCCAGCAGCCGCGGUAAUACGUAGGUGGCAAGCGUUAUCCGGAUUUAUUGGGCGUAAAGAGAGUGCAGGCGGUUUUCUAAGUCUGAUGUGAAAGCCUUCGGCUUAACCGGAGAAGUGCAUCGGAAACUGGAUAACUUGAGUGCAGAAGAGGGUAGUGGAACUCCAUGUGUAGCGGUGGAAUGCGUAGAUAUAUGGAAGAACACCAGUGGCGAAGGCGGCUACCUGGUCUGCAACUGACGCUGAGACUCGAAAGCAUGGGUAGCGAACAGGAUUAGAUACCCUGGUAG
rnacentral:rRNA from 1 species